rnacentral:tRNA from 1 species
GGCUGUUUAGUCUAGUGGUAGGAUUCUCGCCUAGGAUGCGGGAGGUCCCGUGUACAAUUCCCGGAACAGCCC